rnacentral:rRNA from 1 species
AGAGUUUGAUCCUGGCUCAGGAUGAACGCUAGCUACAGGCUUAACACAUGCAAGUCGAGGGGAAACGACAUCGAAAGCUUGCUUUUGAUGGGCGUCGACCGGCGCACGGGUGAGUAACGCGUAUCCAACCUGCCCACCACUUGGGGAUAACCUUGCGAAAGUAAGACUAAUACCCAAUGACGUCUCUAGAAGACAUCUGAAAGAGAUUAAAGAUUUAUCGGUGAUGGAUGGGGAUGCGUCUGAUUAGCUUGUUGGCGGGGUAACGGCCGCCAAGGCUACGAUCAGUAGGGGUUCUGAGGAGGAAGGUCCCCCACAUUGGAACUGAGACACGGUACCAAACUCCUACGGGAGGCA